GUCGCCACCAUCUGCCCGAGACUGAGAAACAGCACCCUCGCUGGGUCCCCGCAGACCCGGCACCUGAGACGGGGCUGCAAGGAGUGGAGAGUGGAGGGGUCUCCGGGGAGAGCUCAGGCCCCCACGUCUGCGUCCUCCCCUUCUUGCCUCAGCUCUCACGGGGAAACCCGGGGCCGACUGACCCGGGACGCUGACAUAUGGGCGGCCUCUGGGCAUGGACUGGCCUUGGAACACUGAGCACCCACACCUGCACCCAAAAGCACUCACUGGGCUGUAGCUCUGGGCUACACGGGAUCCCUGCGGUGUGCCCCUGCCCCAUGGUGAGUGGAAGCCCACUCUGGGCAAGCCCACCUCUCCCCGGCUGCCACGGGCCUAGAGACCGGCCGGUCUGCACCACAUCCGAGGCCCCGUGAUCACCCCAGUCUCAGGAGGGUCAAUGCUGGAAUUCCAGUGGCCUGGCCUUGACUGACCUCUGUCUCCCUUCUUGUGAUCACCGGAUAGUGGCCAGCACAUGUCAUCCAAUUCUAGCUGUGUCCAUUGCUGCUGCCAGUGUCCAAACUACAUUCUCAAGUGCUCCCCCUCAGACUCACCUGUGAUGUCGGCAUGCAUUUGCACGAAGAGGG